UUAUAGAGGUACACAUCCUCGCGGCCC
rnacentral:sRNA from 1 species